UGGGGAAUCUUGGGCAAUGGGCGCAAGCCUGACCCAGCCAUGCCGCGUGUGCGAAGAAGGCCUUCGGGUUGUAAAGCACUUUCAGUAGCGAAGAAAAGCCAGGGGCUAAUACCCCCGGGUCUUGACGUUAACUACAGAAGAAGCACCGGCUAACUCCGUGCCAGCAGCCGCGGUAAUACGGAGGGUGCGAACGUUAAUCGGAAUUACUGGGCGUAAAGCGCACGUAGGCGGUUCGGUAAGUGGGAUGUGA
rnacentral:rRNA from 1 species